UCUCUCUCUCUCUCUCUCUCUCUCUCUCUCUUUUAUGUAGCUUGUAGCAUUUUUUUCCUUUCCUUUUUUAAAUGGCUGAGUUAUAAAUCUUGGAAAAUAAGAGGAGUGGGUACAGUAGAGACUAACACACCCUCUAUUAUAAAAGUUCUGACAACUGUGAUAAAUAUCUUUCUGUAUUUCCUUGAUAGAAAGUGUUGCUUAAAACUUUCUGAGUAGAAUUUAUAAAUGAAGCUUUUGAAGGAAAAUCUUUUCAUAAUUGUUUACCUGCCUCAUAAGUUAUAAAAUCUUUUUUUAAAAUAGUAUUUAAUCAGUUUUUAUAAUUGAUUGCAUAUGUUAUGGAAUCUGGCUAGUUUUAUUAUUUAAAUGAGGGAUUAUUUCUUCAGACUUUUAAUACUUUGAUUUGAAAGAUCAUGUUCCCUGUUGUAACAGAUGUAUGUAAGUAAUUUUGAAAUAGACUGACUAUUCUUCAAGCAAGCAAAGCACUUAGGCAUGUGCUUAGUUCAAUACGUGACUAGAUCCACUGAAGCAAAUGAGACUACUUACAUGCUGAACUUUCAGCAUGUAUUUAAGUGCUUUGCGGGAUCUGAGAAUCUGGUCCCAAUUCAGGACUGUAUUUAAGCAUGUGCUUGGGACUUAAGUGCUGUCCUGAAUAUGAGCCUAAGUGAGGGUAAUGCAUUAAACCUAUAAUCUUAACCAUUUUUUAUUACAAAUACUUAUUUUUCUAGAAGCAAAUCAAAUUUAAGUGUUCCACAGUUUUUAUGCAUCAAACUUUUGAGUCCUAGUAAAGAAACACUACAAAUGCCAAACCUGUAUAAACCAUCUUCACAUUUUAUCACGUUUCUCUCAACAGUAACAAGUAUUGAUCUUGUGCUUACAUUUUUUUUUUUUUUUUUUUUUUUACAGGUGAGAUCACCCUCUUAACAAUUUUAAAAAGCAUUUUGUUUUAUCCAAGUAUUUCUUUGAGUGAAGCUGAAUUUCAGUAGAUUAGUAAAAUCAUAACAUUUAAAAGUGGAUAAAGUUUUUUAAUAUCUUGAAGGUAUAAGAGAUUGCAAAAUCUUGAGUGUUACCUUGCCCUUUCAUUCUUCAAUUAGGGUUGAAUCCUCAGCUGGUGGGAAUUGGCAUAAUUCUAAAAAUACACCAGCUGAGGGUGUGUGGGCCAGUGUAUUUAUUUUGGUAUGCUAACAUACCCAUUACCCCAUUGAUAAAACCUUUCCAGUGUGCCUAAAACUGUAGAAAGUAAAGCCAUGUACUAUAUGUGAAGUUGUUAUAGCUGCUAAUGAAAUAACUUGUAUAUUAAAG